rnacentral:sRNA from 1 species
UCUGGAGCGUCCGACCGUAAUGCGCAAUCAGGCGCAUGCCGGUGCAGCCGCUGCUGCCAAGCUCAAUCCGCAAGACGAUCUGGACUACCUGGACAUCCCGGCUUUCCUGCGUCGUCAGGCCGAUUGAUGAAAUUUAUCAGGGGUAUAAGGGUGAUUGGUGUUCAGCAAAGGCCGGGUCUGGUAUUAUCCUCAGCCUUUGUUGAUACCAGUUCGCAAUUUGCGCUGAAGCGGCCAAUGCCAUGAUUAAACAACGCACCCUGAAGAAUAUUAUCCGUGCCACAGGUGUCGGCCUGCACUCCGGGGAAAAGGUUU